AAAUCACCCAUUUGAUGAUCCA
rnacentral:snRNA from 1 species